rnacentral:lncRNA from 1 species
UACCUUUUACCUAAUGAAAUAUUUCUAAAGCCAUAGUAGAUGUCAGGUGUAAAUUCCAUGAAGAACUGUUGGUUUUUGUAAUUAUUUCGUGAAACUUUCAUUGUAGGGUUCUAGGUUUGGUGAAUAAGCAGGGUUGUCUUCUUUCUUUAGUAUCUGCAUGAUCAAGUCGGUCUGUACUUUUAAUGAUCAUACCUGCACAUGUCACAUUAAGAUUGAAUAUAUUGUGACUUUUCUAACCAUUUCUUGUUAAUUGCUUGAGGAAAAACUAACAGGAAUUUUUUUCUUAGAAAUCCCAAGGAAGUAAUUGUUCUCACUGUUUUGGUAAAAUAACAUAUAUUUUUGUUGUAUGUAUACUUAAUUUCAGGAGAUGUAGAUUUUCUUGUUAUCUUAUAUAUGUUCCUUUUCUUUUUUUUUUCUUGUGAAAAAUGAGUUCAACAAGGGCUCCUCAUUCUAGCCUCCUGGGGUUGAAAUGAUUACUCCUUUAAUUGAUUUGAAGAUUGUUAAUUUUUUAUAUUUGGAAACGCUUGGAAGCUUUCCUUUGUUUUGGCGUUAUGAAGAUCUUAUGCUGCAGGGAGAUUUCACCGAUGCCACAAAGAUGCUGCUGCAUCGAACGCAUAGGAUAAGAUGAUAUUAGUAAGUAUCUAUCAUCUACAUUUUGCUUUUGUCUUCAAUUUUGUAGGAUUUCUUUUCUUUCAACAACGUUUUAGAAAUAUAAAUACUUUCUUAUAUGUUUAUCCAGCCAUCCACAUUUAACUAGGUUGCAAAGAACAUUGAAGUGAUAACUGCAUGUGUAAGUACCAUGGAUGAGCUAGCAAAACAUACAUUUUUAUGCUAGAGUGCAUAUGGAUUAGGUAUGUGUAUUUGUUGGCAAUGUUCAUGUGUGAGAAAGCAAGGUCCAUAAGAUAUCUAGGGGAUUAGAGGUGGUAUGAUUUAAAGAUAAAGCAUCGUCUUGAGUGCUUUUUUUCAUGUGGUUGCUGCAUGGGCUUCAAAUAAUUUACUUGGGACUUCAUUCAGAAGUACAACUGGUAAUCCGAGAUCAAUACUGAGAUCAGACAUCAGAUACAAUAUAAUUUUUUUUGUACAAACAAAAUCUAUGAUAUCGUGCCAUUCUAUGAGUGUUUAGAAAUAAGUUUGGUAUCUGCUACAAUGUACAUAUAACUUGGUCAUCCUAAAGAAACUUUAUCUUGCAUAUUGCUUGGUUACAAGAUAAGAACUAAUAUGUAUUACAAAUAUCUAGGGAAAUCUUUUGAUUUUUUUGUACAUAUAUUAUCAGAGAUGCCAAAUAGCAGGUUGCUUCAAACCAGGGGAACUGACUGGUUCAUAGAUGGUAGAACGUUCAAUCUUCGACGAUGCUCAGGGAGCAAACAAGGGGAAUUAGGUUAGUACGUCUUUAAAAUAGCACCCAAGGGUGCACUCAAUAAUUCCAGUUUUUCAACUUGUACUGUUAUUGUUGAUACACAUUGUUUUGUGCAUACUUGCUAGGGAAAAGUAUAUUUUUCAUCCCUGGACUCGCUCAAAAGUAUAGAAAUGAUCCUUCAACUUUAAAACCGGCAAAUGUUAGUCCCUCAACUUCUCAAACCGGAUUAUUUUAGUCCCUUGACUCAACAAAGCUGUUUUCAUGCUUACUUGGCAUGGUUUUGACCAGUC